rnacentral:rRNA from 1 species
UAACACAUGCAAGUCGAGGGGCAGCAUGGUCUUAGCUUGCUAAGGCCGAUGGCGACCGGCGCACGGGUGAGUAACACGUAUCCAACCUGCCGUCUACUCUUGGACAGCCUUCUGAAAGGAAGAUUAAUACAAGAUGGCAUCAUGAGUCCGCAUGUUCACAUGAUUAAAGGUAUUCCGGUAGACGAUGGGGAUGCGUUCCAUUAGAUAGUAGGCGGGGUAACGGCCCACCUAGUCUUCGAUGGAUAGGGGUUCUGAGAGGAAGGUCCCCCACAUUGGAACUAAGACACGGUCCAAACUCCUACGGGAGGCAGCAGUGAGGAAUAUUGGUCAAUGGGCGAGAGCCUGAACCAGCCAAGUAGCGUGAAGGAUGACUGCCCUAUGGGUUGUAAACUUCUUUUAUAAAGGAAUAAAGUCGGGUAUGGAUACCCGUUUGCAUGUACUUUAUGAAUAAGGAUCGGCUAACUCCGUGCCAGCAGCCGCGGUAAUACGGAGGAUCCGAGCGUUAUCCGGAUUUAUUGGGUUUAAAGGGAGCGUAGAUGGAUGUUUAAGUCAGUUGUGAAAGUUUGCGGCUCAACCGUAAAAUUGCAGUUGAUACUGGAUAUCUUGAGUGCAGUUGAGGCAGGCGGAAUUCGUGGUGUAGCGGUGAAAUGCUUAGAUAUCACGAAGAACUCCGAUUGCGAAGGCAGCCUGCUAAGCUGCAACUGACAUUGAGGCUCGAAAGUGUGGGUAUCAAACAGGAUUAGAUACCCUGGUAGUCCACACGGUAAACGAUGAAUACUCGCUGUUUGCGAUAUACUGCAAGCGGCCAAGCGAAAGCGUUAAGUAUUCCACCUGGGGAGUACGCCGGCAACGGUGAAACUCAAAGGAAUUGACGGGGGCCCGCACAAGCGGAGGAACAUGUGGUUUAAUUCGAUGAUACGCGAGGAACCUUACCCGGGCUUAAAUUGCAGAUGAAUUACGGUGAAAGCCGUAAGCCGCAAGGCAUCUGUGAAGGUGCUGCAUGGUUGUCGUCAGCUCGUGCCGUGAGGUGUCGGCUUAAGUGCCAUAACGAGCGCAACCCUUGUUGUCAGUUACUAACAGGUUCCGCUGAGGACUCUGACAAGACUGCCAUCGUAAGAUGUGAGGAAGGUGGGGAUGACGUCAAAUCAGCACGGCCCUUACGUCCGGGGCUACACACGUGUUACAAUGGGGGGUACAGAGGGCCGCUACCACGCGAGUGGAUGCCAAUCCCCAAAACCUCUCUCAGUUCGGACUGGAGUCUGCAACCCGACUCCACGAAGCUGGAUUCGCUAGUAAUCGCGCAUCAGCCACGGCGCGGUGAAUACGUUCCCGGGCCUUGUACACACCGCCCGUCAAGCCAUGGGAGCCGGGGGUACCUGAAGUGCGUAACCGCGAGGAGCGCCCUAGGGUAAAACUGGUGACUGGGGCUAAGUCAU